AUUGAACGCUGGCGGCAGGCCUAACACAUGCAAGUCGAACGAGUGGCGGACGGGUGAGUAAUGUCUGGGAAACUGCCUGAUGGAGGGGGAUAACUACUGGAAACGGUAGCUAAUACCGCAUUCCAUCAGAUGUGCCCAGAGGGGAUUAGCUAGUUGGUGGGGUAACGGCUCACCAAGGCGACGAUCCCUAGCUGGUCUGAGAGGAGGACCGGCCACACGGGAACGGAGAAACGGGCCAGAUUCCUACGGGAGGCAGCAGGGGGUAAUAUUGCACAUGGGGCGCAAGCCGUAUGCAGCAAUGCGGCGUGGAUGAAGAAGGCCUUCGGGUUGUAAAGUACUUUCAUCGGGGAGGCGUUACCCGCAGAAGAAGCACCGGCUAACUCCGUGCCAGCCGCCGCGGUAAUAC
rnacentral:rRNA from 1 species